CCCUUCGGUUGAUCCCGCCGGAGGUUACUGCUAUCGGUGUUCGCCUAAGCCAUGCGAGUCAUAUGUAGCAAUACAUGGCGUACUGCUCAGUAACACGUGGACAACCUGCCCUUAGGACGGGGAUAAACCCGGGAAACUGGGUAUAAUACCCGAUAGGUCUCGAUUGCUGGAAUGCAUCGAGAUUUAAAGCUCCGGCGCCUAAGGAUGGGUCUGCGGCCUAUCAGGUAGUAGUGGGUGUAGCGUACCUACUAGCCUACGACGGGUACGGGUUGUGAGAGCAAGAGCCCGGAGAUGGAUUCUGAGACACGAAUCCAGGCCCUACGGGGUGCAGCAGGCGCGAAAACUUUACAAUGCUGGCAACAGCGAUAAGGGAACCUCGAGUGCCAGGUUACAAAUCUGGCUGUCGAGAUGCCUAAAAAGCAUUUCAUAGCAAGGGCCGGGCAAGACCGGUGCCAGCCGCCGCGGUAACACCGGCGGCUCGAGUGGUAACCGUUAUUAUUGGGUCUAAAGGGUCUGUAGCCGGCCGGAUAAGUCUCUUGAGAAAUCUGGCAGCUUAACUGUCAGGCUUUCAGGAGAUACUGUCUGGCUCGAGGCCGGGAGAGUGAGAGGUACUUCAGGGGUAGGGUGAAUCUUGUAAUCCUUGAAGACCACCAGUGGCGAAGCGUCUCACCAGAACGGACCUGACGGCAAGGGACGAAAGCUAGGGCACGAACGGAUUAAUACCCGGUAGUCCUAGCCGUAACGAUAC
rnacentral:rRNA from 1 species